rnacentral:tRNA from 1 species
AUCUUUGGCUCUGCCGAGCUUCAGACUUCCCUCCACCCCUUCAGUAAGUAUCGUACAUUUUCUUACAUCACGUAUUUUGUUUGUUUAUCUGGUUAACCAUAUGCUGUUAGAGUUAAUCUAACCCUGCCAGUGUCUUUAAGGUUUUACAGUUAUCUCUUAUAUACAGCAAAUAUUUACUCCAAGUUUCAUCAAACUUCUGUUCGUCCUGAUCUCGUAUUCUCCCUGAUAAUCUAGCCAGUUCUGCGUAAUUCAUCAUUUUAACCUGCCAAUCCAUAACAGUUGGUAUUACAUCUGUUUUCCAAUUCUGAGCCAACAUAGUUCUUGCAGCCGUCGUGACAUACAGAAAGAGGGUUUUAUCUUUCUUUUUAAUUUCCUUCCCUACCAAUCCCAAUAGAAAGGCUUCGGGUUUUUUGGAAAGGUAUACUUAAAAACUUUUUAAAGUUCAUUGUAAAUUGAUUCCCAAAAGCCCUUCACUUUACCACAAUUCCACUAUGUGUGGUAGAGGUCUCCUUCCGCCUCUCCACAUUUCCAACAUUUCUUAUUUUUCAUUCUGUACAUCUUUGCCACUUUUACCGGCGUAAGAUGCCACCUAUAUAUCAUUUUCCAUAUAUUCUCUUGCAAUGCCGUACAGGCCAUAAAUUUCAAAUUUACAUUCCACAAUUCAUGCCAUGCUUCUAAUUCAAUGUUAUGCCCAAAAUCAAUGGCCCACUUAAUCAUGGCUUCUUUUACCUCCUCAUCUUUAGUAUACCAGUUCAAUAAUAAAUCAUACAUUUUUGACAGUGGUUUAUUUUUACCUUCUAUAAUGUCUAUAUGAAAUUUUGAUUUCUUGUCCUCAAAUCCCAACCUCUUUUUAUCUUCUUUUAGUAUCUCACUAACUUGGUGGUACUGUAACCACACUGUCAGUAAAUUCUCUACUUCUUCAUACACCUUAAGCUUUAUACCUUGAUCAGUUUUUCUAAUAAGCUCUUCAUAUGUGGCUCUCUUUCCUUCCAUGUUGACUUUCUUAAUAAUUAAUACAUCUGUUGGUGAUAUCCACCAAGGUGUUUUCCUUUCUAACAGAUUUUUAUUUCUUUCCCAUACUUCAUAUAAAGGUCCUCUAAUUAUAUGAUUUAAAAAAAACCCUGUGGACUUUCACUUUAUCAUACCACAGGUACAAGUGCCACCCGUACCUGUUGUCAUAUCCUUCUAAAUCUAGAAGGUCCAUAUUUUCUAAUUUUAUCCAUUCUCUUAUCCAAAUUAGGCACGCUGCUUCAUAGUAUAUACCCAUGUCUGGCAGGGCGAAGCCACCUCUUUCUUUUUUGUCAACCAGAAUCUUCAUUUUUAUUCUUGGCCUCUUUCCCUGCCAGACAAAUCUUGCCAAUGUUUUCUGCCACUCUUUAAAUUGUUUUGAUCCUUUAAUCACUGGAAUUGUUUGGAACAAGAAUAAAAUUCCAGGUAAAACAUUUAUUUUAAUCACUGAUAUUCUCCCUAAAAAAGAUAGUCUCAGUCUGUCCCAUAUUUCUAGAUCUUUCUUAAUAUCUCUCCAAGUGAUUUCAUAGUUGUCUUUAUACAGGUUUAUGUUUUUGCCAUCAACCAUAUUCCUAGAUAUUUGACUUUCUUGACCACUAUAAUACCACUCUCUUGUUGCAGUUCUUCUAUCUCUUCUUUACUUAUGUUUUUGACUAACAUUUUAGUUUUGUUCUUAUUGAGUUUGAACCCUGCUACUUUGCUGAAUUCUUCUAUUAUUUGUAAAGCUUCUUGUAUACUUCUCUUUGGAUCUUCUAGGGUUAAGACUAUAUCGUCCGCAAAUGCUUUUAUUUUAAAUUCUUUGUAUCCAACCUUGAUACCUUUCACCUUUGAGGCUUCUCUCAAUGUCUUAUUAAGAACCUCCAGUACAGAUAUAAACAACAGGGGUGAUAGAGGACCCCCCUGUCUGGUCCCCUUAGAGAUAUCAAAAGUUUCUGAUACGUUGUUGUUUAUGAUGAGUUUGGCUGUUUGAUUUUGAUAUAUGGCUUCUAUACCCUUUAUAAACCCUUCUCCAAUUCCCAUUGUUUUAAAAUUCUCUUUCAUAAAUCUCCAGGAGACAUUAUCAAACGCUUUCUCCGCGUCAAUGAAAAUCAAAGCCGCUUGUUUAUCAAUUCUACUUUCUAAAUAUUCAAUAAUAUCUACUACAAUACCUGAUGAUACCUUCAGGCACAAACAUUCCAUGUAGUUUUGCCCCAGUAAGGUCCCAGUUAAGAAUGUCCUACUGGAUAUUUGUAGCAUCGCUGCCCUUAUGAUACCAUCACACAUCACCCCAAUCUCUGAGAGGUGAGAGAUUCCAGGGGUUCCAGGUGCUUACCUAGGGUUCAGUUUCCUUAGCAUGCGGGACAGCAGAGACUGUGGUGUCUUUAGGAUACAGUCGUAUCUUGGAAGCCAAACAGAAUCUGUUCCAAAAGUCCAUUUGACUUCCAAAAUGUUCAGAAAUCAAGGUGCAGUUCCGUUUGGCUAGAGGAAGCUCCUGCAGCCAAUUGGAAGUUGUGCUGGGCGUUCGGGUUCCAAAGAACAUUUGCAAACCGGAACACUCUCUUCCAGGUUUGCAGCGUUCGGGAGCCAAAAUGUUCAACUCGCAAGGCGAUCGUCAACCAAGGUAUGACUGUAUAUUGUUUAUUGACACAUAUAUACAACCUGAGCCUAUAAUGGAGGGGCUCACAGCAUCAGCACCACAAAAGUCCUCGUUAGUAUAGUGGUAAGUAUCCCCGCGUGUCACGUGGGAGACCGGGGUUUGAUUCCCUGAUGGAGAGAAGCGCACAUUUGUGUAAUCUCACUGUAUACAAGUUGUACAAGUGACAAUAAAGUAUUUCAAAAGGGUCUUGCUUCUCCCAUAGACACAGCCUUGGAAUCUUGUUGCUUUCUCUCUAGCUGCUUCCUGCUUCCAGCUCACACAACACCUCUCUCCUUUUGUGUUUCUCACCACCAGCCAGGUGAGGGUCCACCCAUUUGCCCUCUGGCACAGAGCAACCUCUUUUGUUAUACUAAGUACUUAGGGCCAUUAAUUCACCAAGAAAGAUGCCCAGCUAUUUCAGUAAUGGAAUGCUCCAUGAGAUUGCUGGAGCCAGGACCUCAGAAAUUAGAAGGGACUCAGGCAACAUACAGAUCAGCCUGCCAAACUCACAACAACCAGCCCCGUAAGGGGCAUCUGCAUAUUCCUGCAUUGCAGUGGGUUGGACUAGAUGAUUAUCAGGGUCCCUUCUGUGGGAUGAAAGCACCCAAGUAAAUGGUUAAUGCUCACAAGAGCUCUGUGAUGUUUCCCAUCUGAGGCAGUUAUUACAGUUGGUACAUCAGUGGCAGUUAUGAUCAGUCUUAACAGUUAGAGCAGCAGCUAUGUUUCGUUGUGCUGCUGCUGUCUGCCUCAGAGUACUAGUCUGUAGCAGUUUUGUCUUAGGUACGAAUCUAUGUAAGAUGUAUUAGCAACGUAAGGUAAAGGACCCCUGGAUGGUUAAGUCCAGUCGAAUUUGACUAUGGGGUGUGGCACUCAUCUCCACUUUCAGGCCGAGGGAACCAGCGUUUGUCCACAGACAGCUUUCUGGGUCAUGUGGCCAGCAUGACUAAACAGCUUCUUGCAGGACACUGUGACAGAAGCCAAAGUGCAUAGAAACAUCAUUUACCUUCCUCCCAGUGGCGUAGCGUGGGGGGUGCAGGGGGGCCAGCCACACCGGGCGCAACAUCUGGGGGGGGGCGCGCUCGCACUAGCAGCUCUCUGCCCCUACCUGGCUCACUCAGGGUUAGGGGGCGCAAAUUACUUGCCUUGCCCCGGGUGCUGACAACCCAUGCUACGCCACUGCUUCCUCCCACAGCAGUACCUAUUUAUCUACUUGCACAGCUAUGCUUUCCAACUGCUAGGUUGGCAGGAGGUUGGGACAGUAACACCAACCUGAAUUGUAUAUUUUUACUUGCAAAUCGCAAGCACACUAAGUAAAAGUCACAUUAUUUUAACUUUAAAAGAGAGUGAAUUACAUUGUUCUUAUAGAGGUAAAAGGGAACUAAUUAAAGAGUUAAAUGACUAGGGCUCUCUUCCACAUAACUCUUUAAAUGGAAACUAGAGUUUAAUUCCCACACCUUCCAAAUCUACAGUUCUAUAAUUCUAUAACAUCUUCAUAACAUGACUUUCCAGGAAAGGGGCCUCCUUAAAUAUUAGAAACAUUUGUGAAAAUUCUGGGGACAGUAGUUGUGGAGUCUGUGAGGCGUGUCUUUGGCAGGGGGAGGAGAAAUGGGCAUCUUCGAUAAGGGUUUGGGGUUCUUGAGGAAACUGGACUGUUUGAUUCACUUUUACAGCCAUAAGAAAUGGGCCUGACUGCCCAUUAAAAACAGCUCCCUCCCCAUUUGUUAUUCCCAGCAAUUGGAAUUCAGUGGUGCUGUGGCUCUCAUACUGGAGGGUAUACUGUAUAGCCAUCGUGAUAUAGCCCUUGAUAUCUUUCUUGACAUCAUUAAUACCCCCCAUUAACUUUCGUAAUCCCCUUUUAAAGCCCUAGCUAGCAUGGCCAACGGUCAGAGGUAAUGAUAUUUGCAGUCCAACAUCAUUGUGCACAGGUUGUUGUCUACACUUUUUACCUACUAAUAGUAAACUUGCUCUCUGAGUGUGGAUGCAUAUGUAGCCAUCUUUACACAAGAGCAGGUAUCAAUAGGGAUGGGAAAACCACAAGGCUUGCCGAAGUACAUAUGUAUGUAUGUAUGUAUGUAUGGGUGCUAAAGGGGUAACAACAGCUCAAUGAGCAUGGAAUGCUGACUGAUGUAAAGGGGGAAACUAAAAAACUAGAGGGAAGGUAAUGGAUUGGAGUAUUCUGAUAAGGGUGCAUGGUUGGCAGGCCUUCCUCACUGCAGCACUGGGCAGGAUUCACCUAAUCUACUCCAUAAAUUAAAGCCUGCUCAAGAACUUCCUCCUGAACAAAUGGGGUUUCCCCUCCUCUCCCCCCCACCCCAUUACACAAUUGGCCCUGUGUGGCUCAGGGAAACCUCCCCCGCGCCAGCACAAUGUACAGAGGAAGGAGAGAGAUAAUCAUUCUGCCUGGCAAGAUUAAAUGCUUGCACAAACAAGGGGAUGUUGAAUUCCUUCCCUGGUUUGAAGAUCUCACUUAAUUCUGCUUUAAAAAACCACAGAGUCUAGGAGAGGAGGUACAAAUGCUGCUGUUUUGAGAUGACCUAAGAGAUUGUGGGUGGAGGGGAGAGAGACAUUCGAGGAGCUAUGCUUGCAAGUAACAUAAUGGCUCUUUCUCAUCCUUUGUGGUUUGUGCCUGCUGAUUACUUAAUACACCUUAAUCAGAGUCUUGAGACUGAAGGAACUGGGGCUUUUAACAUCUUGGCAUGUCUGACAAUUCCACUUAUUCCUGCUGGCCUUUGAAAGGCCUUCUUUCUACAUACAAACACUAAAAGCCUGCUUUUACUCCCUCUUUCCAAAUUGCUUUAAAUUGUUGAUGGUGUUAUGAGUUUUUUGGGGGGAGGGAAGGCUGAAUGCCUGGGCUUGAUUGGGGCUCUCCCUCCUGCUUUUCUAACUUACCUGGGGUGUGUUGUGCUAUAUCCUGACCCAAAUCUCAAGGCCCCAGAAAGCUAGUGCUUCUUCUCCAUCAGGAAGGUGGUCUUCUAUCUGUCCCUUGGAGGUGUCUCUUUCGCAAGCUUUCACCUCCCUCCUCCCAUAAGAAUAUAACAAAAGGAGCCAAGGAUCAGCUUGAUCAGGCCACAGGAGGGGCAUCUAGUUCAGCCUCCUUUUCUGACAGUGGCUGACAAGCAGAAUUGGAGCUUCUUCCUCUUCUUCUUUGGCGAUCACUCGUAGCCGGGUCUUCCAUGAACAUGGUCUUAACAGUGAGUCCGUUAGUGACUGUGGAGGCCAAUUCUGGAUGCACACAUCCUUCCACCAUGGGGACAUAGGUUUCCAGGCAGCAGCUGAUUCAUGUGAGGGUUUGCCAAACGUGUCUUCUAGCUCCUUUAGCUAAUUUCUCCCUUUUGUCCUGAGUUCAAGAGUCUUCAAAGUCCAUGACACCUUUAGUAAAGGCUGUUCUCCAAUUGGAGCAUUUGCAGGCCAGUGUUUCCUAGUUGUCAGUGUUUAUACUACAUUUUUAAAGAUUUGCCUUGAGACAGUUUUUAAGCCUCUUUUGUUGACCACCAGCAUUUCCAUUUUUAAGUUCGGAAUAGAGUAGUUGCUUUGGGAGGCGAUAAUCAGGCAUCCGAACAACAUGACCAGUUCAACGAAGUUGAUGUUGUAGAAUCAUUGCUUCAAUAGUGGUGAUCUUUGCUUCUUCCAGUACACUGGUAUUAGUUCACCUGUCUUUCCAAGUGUAAAAUUUUUGGGAGACAUCAUUGAUGGAAUCUUUCAAGGAGCUGGAGAUGGUGUUUAUUAGUGGUCCAUGUUUCACACGCAUACAGUAAGGUUGGUAGUACAAUAGCUUUGUAAACAAGCAUUUUGGUUUCCCUGUGAAUGUCCCAGUCCUCAAACACUCUGCACUUUAAUAGGAGAAAGCUGCACUCGCAGAGCUCAGGCGAUGCUGGAUUUUGGCAUCUAUGUCAGCCCUUGUGGAAAGAUAACUGCCCAGGUACAAGUGAUUGGCACUUUUCAAUGUAACACCAUUGAGUUGGAUUUGUGGCACUGCAGAGGGGUUGUUUUGUGUUUGUUGGUGCGGCACUUUGAUUUUUUUGGAUGUUGAGUGAUAGCCCAUGCUUUUCAUAAGCUUCUGCAAAGAUAUUUAGGAUAGUUUGGAGGUCAUCCACUGAGUGUGCACACACUAUGUUGUCAUCAGCAUACUGAAGCUCUAUGAUGGAAGUUAUGGUAACCUUACUCUUUGCUUUCAGCCUACUCAGAUUAAAGAGCUUUCUAUCUGUUUGAUAUAUGAUUUCUACUCUGGUGGAGAGUUUCCCUUCGACAAAGUGUAGGAUCAUGGCAAUGAAAAUAAUAAAUCUAUUUUAACACCUGUUGGAGCACAACAGCACCAGCCCUCUCCCCACCUGCAGUUGUCUUGAACAGGUGUUAUUCAGAGGUAUUUUGCUGCUUCUGACCCAAGAGGGGGGAACCUCUCUCCUGGGCUUUGUCUGACUUUCUGCCCCCCACCUCUCCUUCCCAGGAAGCCAAGAGCAGCCCUCAGUGACACCUGAAAUGUAC